rnacentral:hammerhead_ribozyme from 1 species
CACUUGCUGACGAGUCCCAAAUAGGACGAAACGCGCGUCAAACUG